rnacentral:rRNA from 1 species
AAUAUAAGAUUUAGCCUGCCCGCUGAAUAAUUGAAUGGCCGCGGUAUUUUGACCGUGCAAAGGUAGCAUAAUAAUUAGUUUUUUGAUUGAAAGCUGGAAUGAAUGGCUGGACGAGAAAAUUACUGUCUCUUAUUAAUUUUAAAUAAAACUUUAUUUUUAAGUUAAAAAGCUUAAAUAUUGUUAAAAGACGAGAAGACCCUAUAGAGUUUUAUAGUUUUAGAUUAAUAUUAUUAUAAGAAUUUAAUUUUUGUUUUUCUACAAUUAUUUUAUUGGGGUGAUAGAAAGAUUUAAUUAACUCUUUUUUUAUUUAAACAUUUAUAUGUGAUUUUUUGAUCCAAUUUUUUUGAUUAUAAGAAUAAAUUACCUUAGGGAUAACAGCGUAAUCUUUUUAGAGAGUCCUUAUCGAAACAAGGGAUUGCGACCUCGAUGUUGGAUUAAAGUUAAUUUUUGGUGUAGAAGCUGGAAAAUUGAGUCUGUUCGACUUUUAAAACUUUACAUGAUCUGAGUUUAAACCGGUGUGAGCCAGGUUGGUUUCUAUCUUUAUUUAGAUAAAAUAUUUUAGUACGAAAGGACCAA